rnacentral:rRNA from 1 species
CGAAGAACCUUACCAGGGCUUGACAUAUACCUGACGGGUUUAAGAAACUAGAUCCGUUCCUUCGGGGACAGGUAAACAGGUGGUGCAUGGUUGUCGUCAGCUCGUGUCGUGAGAUGUUGGGUUAAGUCCCGCAACGAGCGCAACCCUUAUUGUUAGUUGCCAUCAUUAAGUUGGGCACUCUAACGAGACUGCCGGUGACAAACCGGAGGAAGGUGGGGAUGACGUCAAAUCAUCAUGCCCUUUAUGUCCUGGGCUACACACGUGCUACAAUGGCCAGAACAGAGGGUUGCUAAGGGGCAACCUGGAGCUAAUCCCUUAAAACUGGUCUCAGUUCGGAUUGCAGGCUGAAAUUCGCCUGCAUGAAGUCGGAAUCGCUAGUAAUCGCGGAUCAGCAUGCCGCGGUGAAUACGUUCCCGGGCCUU